UAGGGGCUGCUGGCUCACUGUUUUUUUUGGGAUGGUGGGAUACUCUUCUGUUUUUGAGCUAUGUUUUAAUCUCUAGAUGUAUAAACCCACUUGUGUAACUCUCCAGAGGACUAAAACCAGCUUGAUUGAAUGCUACGUAUGGCUUGGCAGCGUAGAUGCAGCAUUACCAAGACACUGAGCAGAGUUGUAUCAGAGUCACCUCUUUCAUCUGCAAAGGGUGCUUUGUGCAGUUGUGGAGAGGGAAGGGAAAUCUUCAUGUCAGGAAGCUCUGAGGGAAGGUGAGUGGUGUCAGCCUGGUCAUGCCUUAUCCGAAGCAAAGGGAAGACGCUCAGGUGUUUCCCUGUGAGGGUCCGAGGUGGCGUGGGUGAUGCUGGCCGCUCCUUUCAAGCUUGGACCUAAUUUGCAGGUCCAGAGGCAAGUGGAGUGCUGUUUUGAAAGGAUAAAAGCUGAAAUGCAGCGUGCAGUUCGCAGUGCAGGACGUCUCGACCCAAGCUGCCUCUGCAGUGACUCUGGUGUGUGAUGAGCAGAGGUAACUGUUGUUUUUGGGGCGUGGUUGUCACUGCAGUUAUUUUCCUACAUCCAAUAGAGUAAAACUCCAGUUUGCCUUUUAGAGGU